AUUGAACGCUGGCGGCAUGCUUUACACAUGCAAGUCGAACGGUAACAGGUUAAGCUGACGAGUGGCGAACGGGUGAGUAACGCAUCGGAACGUGCCCGAUCGUGGGGGAUAACGCAGCGAAAGCUGCGCUAAUACCGCAUAAGAUCCGAGGAUGAAAGCGGGGGACUUUAUAGCAAUAUGAGGCCUCGCGUGAUUGGAGCGGCCGAUGUCAGAUUAGGUAGUUGGCGGGGUAAAGGCCCACCAAGCCGACGAUCUGUAGCUGGUCUGAGAGGACGACCAGCCACACUGGGACUGAGACACGGCCCAGACUCCUACGGGAGGCAGCAGUGGGGGAUUUUGGACAAUGGGCGCAAGCCUGAUCCAGCAAUGCCGCGUGCAGGAAGAAGGCCUUCGGGUUGUAAACUGCUUUUGUACGGAGCGAAAAGGUCUUCUCUAAUAAAGAAGGCUGAUGACGGUACCGUAAGAAUAAGCACCGGCUAACUACGUGCCAGCCGCCGCAGUAACAC
rnacentral:rRNA from 1 species